AGAGAGUAUUGACUUGACAUUAGUGUCUUUAGUGUGCUCCCACAUUGAGCUCUACUUUUUGGGUCCAUGCACCUACUUAUUUCUAAACAUCUAGAGCGCAACAAUACCCCUGCCUCCUGAUAUGCCAUAUAACCUGUAUCUCUCCAAGUGUGUGUGUGUGUGUGUGUGAGAGAGAGAAUGUGUGCACGCAGAUAUAAGAAGUUGGGGUUGAUGAUCCACAUGAUGGUGAUGGACCAGGACAGCUCUGGACCUCCUGACUGGCAGCUCCAUCCUCAACCUCUCUUCCUGCCCUUCACACAUGUGCAGGCAGCCAGUUUUCUGAAAGAUGGUUGAUGUCAGUACCAACAUGUUGUGAUGGAGGCUUCCACCUGAGCUGAACACAGAAACUUGCACACAGUGUUGGAAGCAGUCGUUCCUGCUCAGCAUCGAUAUGCCAGUAAUGGGUUUGAUGAGCCACAGCAUGGUGAUGGGCAAUCAGCAUCAGGACCAGGGCAGCUCACAAGGAGAACCUCCUGCCCUGCCUCGUCAUCCUCAACCUCCCAUCUCCCUGCUCUUCACACAUGUGCAGGCACGGAGCCAGUUUUCAGAGGGAGGGCUGAUGACACCAGCAACUUUGGUGAACCUGAUCAACCCAGCACCAACCACUGUGCCCCUCCUCCUCUGCCAACUGCACCACAUGGCUCCACCAUCUCAAAAAGGCACAGACACUACUCCUACUACUUCCUGCGAAGGAUGAGAGAAGAGCCGACCGCCCCACAUCGGCACUCACCACCUUCUACAGGGGUGUCAUUGAGAGCAUCCUGACCAGCAGCCUCUCUGUCUGGCAUGGCAGCCGUCAAGCUGAAGACCAGAAGGCAGUACAGAGAGUGUGGUGAGAACGGCAGAAAAGCUCAUAAGAUCACCCCUACCAGCCAUUCAGGAUCUGUACACUUCACACUGUUCCAAGAGGGCAAUGAACAUCAUAAAGACACAACUCAUCCAGCAUACAGACUGUUCUCCUUACUACACAAGCACACUGGGAAACGGCUUCUUUCCACAAGCCAUCAGACUCCUCAACGCACUGAAGAAAACCACAUGAAUAUUCCAAGGACACUGGAGAAUAUUCCAUGAACACUUCUUUCACCAUGCCACUUACACUUUACUCAUUGCUCCUUAUAUACAGCAUCUUCACAUCACCUGUAUGAUCUCCUCCUGCCGUGUGUGUGUGUGUGUGUGUGUGUGUGUGUGUGUGUGUGUGUGUGUGUGUGUGUGUGUGUGUGU